GACGAACGCUGGCGGCGCGCUUAACACAUGCAAGUCGAACGGAAAGGCCUGCUUUCCCUUGUGGAUUGCGGGUACUCGAGUGGCGAACGGGUGAGUAACACGUGAGUGAUCUGCCCCCAACUUGGGUAUAAGCCUGGGAAACUGGGUCUAAUUCCCGAUAGGACUGCAGGGUGGUGCCUGUGGUGGAAAACGAUUUUCUAGUGGUUGGGGAUGAGCUCGCGGCCUAUCAGCUUGUUGGUGGGGUAAUGGCCUACCAAGGCGGCGACGGGUAGCCGGCCUGGGAGGGUGCACGGCCACAUUGGGACUGAGAUACGGCCCAGACUCCUACGGGAGGCAGCAGUGGGGAAUAUUGCACAAUGGGCGGAAGCCUGAUGCAGCGACGCCGCGUGGGGGAUGACGGCCUUCGGGUUGUAAACUCCUUUCGACCGCGAGGAAGCCACCUGGUUGGAAGGGUGGUGACGGUAGUGGUAGAAGAAGCACCGGCUAACUACGUGC
rnacentral:rRNA from 1 species